rnacentral:rRNA from 3 species
CUUGACGACCAUAGAGCAUUGGAACCACCUGAUCCCAUCCCGAACUCAGCAGUGAAACGGUGUAUCGCCGAUGGUAGUGUGGGGUUUCCCCAUGUGAGAGUAGGUCAUCGUCAAGA